rnacentral:rRNA from 1 species
CAUUAAAAAGAUAGUUGUUUAAAUCAAUUUAAUUUGAAUAUAAAGAAUUAUUUAAUUUUAUAAAAAAAAUUUUUUUUAAAAAAAGUAAAAAAUUUGAAAUUAUUAUUAUUAUUAUAAAUUAUUAGUAAAGUAAUUGAAAUUUUAAAUAUAUAAAUAAGAAUAAUUAAUUUUUUGUACCUUGUGUAUCAGGGUUUAUUAAAAUAAUAUAAUGUAUUUUAUCUUUUCGAUAAUAAAAGAGUUAUUUAAUUAGAAAUUUUAAUGUAAAAUAAUUAUUUAAAAUAUUUAAAUUGAAGUGAAAUGUUAUUCGGUUUUAUAAAUAUCUAGUUUUUUUAGAAAAAAAUUUAAUUUUUUUUUUAUUAUUAAUAUUUUUUAAUAUUUAAGAAUAUUAUAAUAAAUUUUAAAAAUUUUAGGGAUAAGCUUAAAAUUUAAUUUUUAUAAAUUUAUUAAUAAAAAAUUAUAAUUUUAGGAUUAGUAAUUUUCAUAAAAAAUAGUUUGUUAAAAUUAAUAUUAUACUAAAAAAAAUUUUUAUAAGUUUUAAUUUAUUUAUAAAAAUAAUUUAAUUAAUAAUGUAUUAAAUAUAAUAAUGAUAAAAUUAGUAUAAUUAUAUUGUAUAUUUUUUUAUUAUUUAAGGUAAUUAAAAGGAAUUCGGCAAAAUUUAUUAUUUGCCUGUUUAUUAAAAACAUCGUUUUUUGUUAAAAAUUUAAGAUUGGACCUGCCCAAUGAAAUUUAAAUGGCUGCAGUAUAUUGACUGUACAAAGGUAGCAUAAUAAUUAGUUUCUUAAUUAGAAGCUUGUAUGAAUGGUUUGACAAAAUAAUUACUGUCUCUUAAUUAAUUUAUAUUAAAAUUUUAUUUUUAAGUUAAAAAGCUUAAAUUUUAUUAAAAGACGAGAAGACCCUAUAGAGUUUUAUAAUUUUUAAAAUUUUUAUAUUUAUAGAAUUAUUAAUUUAUUUUUUAAAGAUUAAUUAAUUGGGGUGAUUUAAAAAUUUAUUUAACUUUUUAUAAUAUAACCAUUGAUUUAUGAAUUUUUGAUCCAUUUUUUUUUGAUUAAAAGAAAUAAUUACCUUAGGGAUAACAGCGUAAUUUUUUUAAGAGUUCUAAUUAAAAAAAAAGAUUGCGACCUCGAUGUUGGAUUAAAUAAAAAAUUUGGUGCAGAAGCUAAAUUAUUAAGUCUGUUCGACUUUUUAGAAUUUACAUGAUCUGAGUUUAGACCGGCGUGAGCCAGGUUAGUUUCUAUCUUUAAUAAGAUUUUUUAUUUUAGUACGAAAGGAUUAAAUAAAUUUAAUAUUUAUUAUUAUUUGAAUAUUAUUAUUACUUUGGCAGAAUAAUGUAUUAAAUUUAGAAUUUAAAAAUGUAUUUAUAUACAAGUAAU